rnacentral:rRNA from 1 species
UACGAAGGGGGCUAGCGUUGCUCGGAAUCACUGGGCGUAAAGCGCACGUAGGCGGCUUUCUAAGUCAGGGGUGAAAUCCUGGAGCUCAACUCCAGAACUGCCUUUGAUACUGGAGAGCUUGAGUCCGGGAGAGGUGAGUGGAACUGCGAGUGUAGAGGUGAAAUUCGUAGAUAUUCGCAAGAACACCAGUGGCGAAGGCGGCUCACUGGCCCGAUACUGACGCUGAGGUGCGAAAGCGUGGGGAGCAAACAGG